UGGGGAAUAUUGGGCAAUGGAGGCAACUCUGACCCAGCAACGCCGCGUGAAUGAUGAAGGUCUUCGGAUUGUAAAGUUCUGUGACGGGGGACGAAGGACAUGACGGUACCCCGAGAGCAAGCCACGGCAAACUACGUGCCAGCAGCCGCGGUAAUACGUAGGUGGCAAGCGUUGUCCGGAAUGACUGGGCGUAAAGGGUGCGUAGGCGGUCUGUCAAGUUAGAAGUGAAAUCCCGGGGCUCAACCCCGGAACUGCUUUUAAGACUGAUGGACUAGAGUGAUGGAGAGGUUAAUGGAAUUCCUAGUGUAGCGGUGGAAUGCGUAGAUAUUAGGAGGAACACCAGUGGCGAAGGCGAUUAACUGGACAUUAACUGACGCUGAGGCACGAAAGCGUGGGGAGCAAACA
rnacentral:rRNA from 1 species